CAUGCAAGUCGAACGGCAGCRCGGACUUYGGUCUGGUGGCGWGUGGCGAACGGGUGAGUAAUACAUCGGAACGUACCCUGUUGUGGGGGAUAACUAGUCGAAAGAUUAGCUAAUACCGCAUACGACCUGAGGGUGAAAGWGGGGGACCGUAAGGCCUCACGCAGCAGGAGCGGCCGAUGUCUGAUUAGCUAGUUGGUGGGGUAAAGGCCCACCAAGGCGACGAUCAGUAGCUGGUCUGAGAGGACGAUCAGCCACACUGGGACUGAGACACGGCCCAGACUCCUACGGGAGGCAGCAGUGGGGAAUUUUGGACAAUGGGGGCAACCCUGAUCCAGCAAUGCCGCGUGUGUGAAGAAGGCCUUCGGGUUGUAAAGCACUUUUGUCCGGAAAGAAAUCGCUUCGGUUAAUACCUGGGGUGGAUGACGGUACCGGAAGAAUAAGCACCGGCUAACUACGUGCCAGCAGCCGCGGUAAUACGUAGGGUGCGAGCGUUAAUCGGAAUUACUGGGCGUAAAGCGUGCGCAGGCGGUUUUGUAAGACAGGCGUGAAAUCCCCGAGCUCAACUUGRGAAUUGCGCUUGUGACUGCRAGGCUAGAGUA
rnacentral:rRNA from 1 species